rnacentral:rRNA from 1 species
AGAUUGAACGCUGGCGGCAUGCCUAACACAUGCAAGUCGAACGGGAGUAGCAAUACUCUAGUGGCGGACGGGUGAGGAAUACGUAGGAAUUUGCCCUUAAGUGGGGGAUAACCCGGGGAAACCCGGAUUAAUACCGCAUGACCUCGAAAGAGCAAAGUGGGGGAUCGCAAGACCUCACGCUUUUGGAGAAGCCUACGUCGGAUUAGCUAGUUGGUGAGGUAAUGGCUCACCAAGGCGACGACCCGUAACUGGUCUGAGAGGAUGAUCAGUCACACCGGAACUGAGACACGGUCCGGACUCCGUACGGGAGGCAGCAGGUGGGGAAUAGUUGGACAAGUGGGCGCAAGCCUAGAUCCAGCAAUCGCCGCGUGUGUAGAAGAAGGCCGUUCGGUUAGUAAAGCUAACGUUUAAGUAGGGUAAAGAAAAACGUCGACUACUAACACAAGU